ACCCCUGGCUGGGACAUCUGUCACCGCAUUGAUUGCCAGGGUUGAUUCAGCUGAUCUGGCUGACUAGGCAGGUGUCCCCUUCCUCCCUCACCGCUCCAUGUGUGUCCCUCCUGAAGCUGCGCGGUCGGUGGAUGAGGACGACCUUCUCCGAUAGAGGAGGACCGUUCUUCGGUCAAGGGUAUACGAGUAGCUGCGCUCCCCUGCUAGAACCUCCAAACAAGCUCUCUUAUGGUUUUUAAGACAGUAUUAUUUGUCACUGGGAUCUCUUCCUUUUGCCUGGCUGAACUGUCAAGCUAUAUAUUAAUUUCAAGUUAUUUCUU
rnacentral:snRNA from 1 species